UCCGAGUUGACCCCGGCAGUCUCCCAUGAGUCCCCGCCAUCACGCGCUGGCAACAUGGAACGAGGGUUGCGCUCGUUGCGGGACUUAACCCAACAUCUCACGGCACGAGCUGACGACAGCCAUGCAGCACCUGUGCUGGUACCCGACUCUACGGGUCGCCGACCCUUUCGGGUGACUACUGCCAGCAUGUCAAACCCAGGUAAGGUUCUUCGCGUUGCAUCGAAUUAAUCCGCAUGCUCCGCCGCUUGUGCGGGCCCCCGUCAAUUCCUUUGAGUUUUAGCCUUGCGGCCGUACUCCCCAGGCGGAGUGCUUAAUGCGUUAGCUGCGGCACGGAGAGGGUUGAAGACCUCCCCACACCUAGCACUCAACGUUUACGGCUGGGACUAC
rnacentral:misc_RNA from 1 species